rnacentral:sRNA from 1 species
UAUCCGCCAUGAUGGCUACGGAGCAGCGC